rnacentral:tRNA from 1 species
GGUCGCGUGGCCGAUCGGUUAGGCACGGGACUGCAAAUCCCUUUAGUCCGGUUCGACUCCGGACGCGACCU